AGGUUAUUACAGGCAGAGAGGGUACUCUUUGCCAUAUCCUGAUUUGCCAUGGGACUGAUGUUGGAUAAGGGAAUCAUGUUAAUAGCUCCAUCAACUUGCAACUGCAAAACCCUCAAGAGUUACAUAAAAAUGUUAAAACAUUAAAUGAAACAAAAGGAAAAAAAAAACAUAUUUCUACAUGACAAAAUUGAAACAGAAAUAACUGCCAGAAGUGGGAUGGAGCUGACAAAAGGAGUAUGCUGAAUUGUAUCAUGCAGUACACAGAUACACUGUGAAGCUUAUCCAAAGAAGGAUUGAAAGUGGUUUUCUUCAACUCAUAACGCCAGUUGUAGUGCUGCCAUAUGACUGACCCAACUCCAAAUAUGAGGCAAGAAGCAGCAAUUAUGUAGCCCCAGAUUCCUGUGUAGGCAAGAGACUGUUUACUCCACAACAAAGCCCAUGAAACCAUUUUAUGAGAGUGAAGUUUCCAAAUUGAACAUAAAAGGAUUGCAACCCCCUCCAAUAGUAUUUUUUCACACCACUGGAUUUCCAAAUUCAGAAGAAAAUAUUGCAGAUUGGAAACAGGAACAUUGCAUGAGAGCAAGUUGAUUAUGGAGCUAUUCAAUGCAAUGAGAAUAUAAUCAUCCACCAGCAAGAGCACCUUAUGAAAAUAGAUUUAAAUGGGGCUUUAAAUUAACCUAAACUUUCACACAGCACAAAUACAAGACAUGCUGCUAACUAUAUUCAUCUUUUACUGGUCUCCUUUCAUACACAGAAAAAUUUCCUCUCAGUGAUCACAGAGGUUUGGGAGCAGGAAAUUUGAUGGUGACAUCAAGUCAGAGUUGCUUUGGGAUGUUGAAUGAUUGGUUGUGGAGAAGAGAAGUGGUGUAAAAUUCUUCUGAAAAUCUUAUUUGUGGACAAGCUACUUGGAAAUAAACUGAUCAUCACAGAGAAAGCAUCAUUUAGACCUUGUUGUUUUUGAAGGCACAAUGCAAAGGUCAAGGGAUCAUGAGCAGAGGAAGUUCAUGUGACUAUUCCUAGAAUUGUUGCAAGGUGACAACUGCAAUGUUGUCACAGAAAGAAGUCUUUGCCUUGAAAAACUUACACUCCAGUAGUGCAUGUUGGUGACAUCAAAGCCUCCUCUGUAUUUCUUCAAAUGAUUCAGAGGGUCCAAUCGUGGGAACAUGCCUCCACAAAUGUCUACUGAUAAGGUCAAUGGCUUCUCCAGCAAUACUGUUGCCUGAUGCAACACUAGCCUGCUCUGGAGCACAAUGGGUGGAAUAUCAGUAUAUUGUCCACUUAACUGAAGUCCUCUGAUAGAACAACUGCUACCUAAAUGUAUCCACACAGAUUGCACACAUCCAAGGCAUCAUUUAAUAGGG